AGCCAUGGGCAGGUUGAAGGUUGGGUAACACUAACUGGAGGACCGAACCGACUAAUGUUGAAAAAUUAGCGGAUGACUUGUGGCUGGGGGGGAAAGGCCAAUCAAACCGGGAGAUAGCUGGUUCUCCCCGAAAGCUAUUUAGGUAGCGCCUCGUGAAUUCAUCUCCGGGGGUAGAGCACUGUUUCGGCAAGGGGGUCAUCCCGACUUACCAACCCGAUGCAAACUACGAAUACCGGAGAAUGUUAUCACGGGAGACACACGGCGGGUGCUAACGUCCGUCGUGAAGAGGGAAACAACCCAGACCGCCAGCUAAGGUCCCAAAGUCAUGGUUAAGUGGGAAACGAUGUGGGAAGGCCCAGACAGCCAGGAUGUUGGCUUAGAAGCAGCCAUCAUUUAAAGAAAGCGUAAUAGCUCACUGGUCGAGUCGGCCUGCGCGGAAGAUGUAACGGGGCUAAACCAUGCACCGAAGCUGCGGCAGCGACGCUUAUGCGUUGUUGGG
rnacentral:rRNA from 1 species